ACCUCGGAUCAGACGUGAUUACCCGCUGAACUUAAGCAUAUCACUAAGCGGAGGAAAAGAAACUAACCAGGAUUCCCUUAGUAACGGCGAGUGAACAGGGACUAGCCCAGCACCGAAGCCUGUGACCAUUUGGUUACUAGGCAAUGUGGUGUUUAGGUCAUCUCUUGGCGCUAUUGCUCCACCCUAAGUCCAGCAAUGAGUACGGCUUACUGGUAUGGCCCAUAGAGGGUGAAAGGCCCGUGUGGGUGGAGA
rnacentral:misc_RNA from 1 species